UACCCAAUCCCGAUUCGGGGAGGUAGUGACAAUAAAUAACAAUACAGGGCCAACGGUCUUGUUAUUGGAAUGAGAACAAUUUAAAUAACUUAACGAGGAUCAAUUAGAGGGCAAGUCUGGUGCAGCAGCCGCGGUAAUUCCAGCUCUAAUAGCGUAUAUUAAAGUUGUUGCAGUUAAAAAGCUCGUAGUCGGAUGUCGGGCUCGGGCAGGCUGUCGGCUUCGGUCGGACGGCAGGCUCGGGUCUUUCUGCCUGAGGAUCCCGUGCACUUUAUUGUGGGCGGGGGACGCAGGCCGUUUACUUUGAAAAAAUUAGAGUGUUCAAAGCAGGCCUACGCUUGAAUACAUUAGCAUGGAAUAAUGGAAUAGGACUUUGGUGCUAUUUUGUUGGUUUAUGGGACCGAAGUAAUGAUUAACAGGGACAGUUGGGGCCGUUUAUAUUUCGUUGUCAGAGGUGAAAUUCUUGGAUUUACGAAAGAUAAACUUCUGCGAAAGCAUUCGGCAAGGAUGUUUUCAUUGAUCAAGAACGAAAGUUAGGGGAUCGAAGACGAUCAGAUACCGUCGUAGUCUUAACCAUAAACUAUGCCGACUAGGGAUCAGUGGAUGUCAAUUUGCGACUCCAUUGGCACCUUGCGAGAAAUCAAAGUUUUUGGGUUCCGGGGGGAGUAUGGUCGCAAGGCUGAAACUUAAAGGAAUUGACGGAAGGGCACCGCCAGGAGUGGAGCCUGCGGCUUAAUUUGACUCAACACGGGGAAACUUACCAGGUCCAGACA
rnacentral:rRNA from 1 species